UUGGACGCUGGCGGCAGGCCUAACACAUGCAAGUCGAACGGUAACAGGAAACAGCUUGCUGUUUCGCUGACGAGUGGCGGACGGGUGAGUAAUGUCUGGGAAACUGCCUGAUGGAGGGGGAUAACUACUGGAAACGGUAGCUAAUACCGCAUAACGUCGCAAGACCAAAGAGGGGGACCUUCGGGCCUCUUGCCAUCGGAUGUGCCCAGAUGGGAUUAGCUAGUAGGUGGGGUAACGGCUCACCUAGGCGACGAUCCCUAGCUGGUCUGAGAGGAUGACCAGCCACACUGGAACUGAGACACGGUCCAGACUCCUACGGGAGGCAGCAGUGGGGAAUAUUGCACAAUGGGCGCAAGCCUGAUGCAGCCAUGCCGCGUGUAUGAAGAAGGCCUUCGGGUUGUAAAGUACUUUCAGCGGGGAGGAGGGGAGUAAAGUUAAUACCUUUGCUCAUUGACGUUACCCGCAGAAGAAGCACCGGCUAACUCCGUG
rnacentral:rRNA from 1 species